GAAUGAUGAAGUGAUAGAUAUGAUAAUCACUCAAACAAAUAAAUAUGCCUUAGAACAAAAAGAAAUAAAUAAAAAAAUAAUUUGGACACCACUUACUAAAGAAGAUUUCCUCACUUUUAUUGCUGUACUUUUUCUUGCUGCUCGCCAUAGAAAAAACAAAUUAGUAGAGAAUUGGUCCACCGAUGAACUACUAUACACUCCGAUAUUUGGAAAAGUGAUGUCCAGAAACCGCUUUCAAAUAAUAUUACGCAUGCUUUAUUUUACAGACAAUGGCGAACAAAUUAAAGGUGACUUAUGCCACAAAGUUCGAGGGAUUUUCGACAAAAUUAAAACUACGUUUGCCCAGAAAUUUGUUCCAUUCCAGAACUUGGUGAUUGAUGAGAGUUUAAUGCUUUUUAAAGGACGUCUGUUAUUCAAGCAGUUCAUACGAACAAAACGACAUCAUUUUGGCAUAAAACUGUUCCUCCUGUGUGAUUGUGAGACAGUCUACGUCCUAAAUUUUAUCAUAUAUAUAGGCUCAAAAACCGAAAUUGAGUUGUGUCAAGAUCUUGGCAUAUCAGGGUCGGUUGUAACAACAUUAAUGGAAUCUUAUUUGAACAAAGGCCAUUCCCUCUAUACUGACAAUUGGUAUACCUCACCAGCUCUUUCCACCUAUUUAUUUAAAAAAAAACAAACAUAUGUGGUACAGUUAGGAGUACCAGAAAGCAAAUGCCGGAUCUAUCAGGAAGAUUGGACAAGGGUCAAACAAAAUCCAUGUCUAGUGAAAAUAUUUUAGCUGUCAGAUGGAAGGAUCGAAGAGACGUUAACAUGUUGACAACUUUCCACAGGGAUGAAAUGACCCAGUUGACUAAAAAAGAUAGAAAAACGGGUGAAUUUGUAAAAAAACCAGCAUGUGUGGUGUAGUAUAACCAAAAUAUGGGAGCAGUUGAUAGGACUGAUAUGAUGCUAAGUUCGACAGAAUGCGUAAGAAAAACUUUAAAAUGGUACAAAAAACUCUUUUUUCACGUUGUGGAUCUAUGUGUUUUGAACAUCUAUGCACUAUUUCUAACUCAAAAUCCAGGAAAGUUACCACUAGCAGAUUUUCAAUUAAAUCUUACUCGGCAACUUCUUGAGAGAUAUGUUGCACCAAAAACUAUGUCAGUAAGGGCUGCACCAAGUCGUCAACGUCUUACGGGGCGUCAUUUUCCUGCUAUCAUACCAAACAACAAAGUUCGAAGAUGCAUUGUUUGUGCACAAUCCAAAAUUCGGGAGAAAAAGAAGCGACGAGAUUCCAGAUAUAUGUGCAACGAGUGCAACGUGGGAUUGUGUGUCGCUCCCUGUUUUGUUGAAUACCACACAAUGAAGGAUUUCUAAAAAAAACGAUUAAAAAAUUUUCUUAAUUA